UCAUUAACAACUGUUUGCUGGAAUGCACG
rnacentral:piRNA from 1 species